CUAGUGGAGUUUUUAAACUCCACUGAUAGUGUAUCAAAUAUUGUUU
rfam:Gossypium raimondii Chr12_contig_244, whole genome shotgun sequence.